GGUUGUGGCUCAGAGGUAGAACACUCACCUAGCACGUGCAAGGCCCUGGGUUCGAUUCUCAGCACCA
rnacentral:tRNA from 1 species